AAUGACUGAAUCUUCUUGAAGAAGGUUCGUGGAAUGUUGAUUGGAAGGGUAUUUAAUAGAUAUAACAGUCUGGGGAGAAGUUGGCUCCAUACAGCAUCUUGGCAUGGGGGGGGUUAUGUUAACUCCCAGGUACUUGAUAGAUUUCGUGGCCCAUUGGAAGGCAUUUUGUGUUUGUAAUCGUGUUUUGUCCCUUUCUGGUAGGGUAAGGUUCAAUAUCUCGCAUUUUUCGGUGUUUAUUUUAAAGUUGGAUAGGCCACUAUAUUCAGAUAUGCAUCAGUGCUGGGAGGGACGAGAUCGGAUUGGGUGAAUAAUCGUCCGCAAAUGCGGUUACCUUUUAUAUUGGUGUCGGCCCACCCUCAUUCCUUUCACCCUAGACUGGUUUCUCACCGCGUUCAACAGGGGCUCCAAUCCCAGGAUGAAUAGCAGUGGGGACAGGGGGCACCCCUGCCUUGUGCCAUUUGUUAUUUGGAAGGUUUCGGACAGGAUCCGGUUGAUUUUGAGCUUCGCUGAAGGGUAUGAGUAGAUCGCUUGGAUCCAUUGCAUUCACCUCCGACCAAAACCCAGCGCUUCCAGCGUCGACAGGAGGACGUUUCAGUCCACCCUGUCUAAUGCUUUCUCCGUAUCGAUAGCCAACAUGAUGGAGAGGAUCUUAU